GUUAAAAUGGAUUUGGGCCCUGUUUUGCAGUUUAAGUGUGACAAAAUGGGUUCAUCUGAACUGGGGCGAUGAUGGACUGAUUACUUUAUUUGCAAAGAUUUGGAGACUUCUUCGCCCGGAAAUAGGAGUGGUAUAUUAUGCAACUUGUUAGGAUCGGAGAGCUCCCAAGAGGGAAGGUGUGUGUGAAACUGUGAAUUGGAAUACUAAAAUGGAAAGGAUAAAAACUGAGUUAAAAAAAUUUUCUACAGAGAUAUUGCGGAAGCUAAGAUGAUUUUGAAUUUACACCCACACUCAAGAAGAAGGAAAGUGAAAGAACAAGCACAAGAGACUCAAGGAUUUUAGAGUGGUUGGGAACCUUCCUUAUGUACACUACACAUGCACUUGGACUUUUCACUACUCUCAAUUGCUUUCCUAGGUAGUAAUGAAACCCUUACAACUUGUAGAUUUUCCACGGAUCACUACAAACCAAAAGUGUUUUCCAAGGAUCACACCAAUACUAAUAACAAUGUCACUAUGCUCAGUUUUUUGGGAA